GGGGGGGGGGAAGAAUUUUUCGUAGAAAACCUUUGAUCUACGAAGAUCUAACCGUCCAAACUCAAAUCCGACUUUGGUAACGUGAUCUACGAAGCCCGAUCUACGUUUCUACUGAUUGGUAUGAGGAUUUGUUCUGUGGAGCUUGCUAAACACUAUCCAAGUGUUGGAUUUACAUUUGGUGGAAUUUUUGUGAUACAUUGCAAGGUGGCGUCUAGGAGACCUAAGCUUGAUAUCUGCGCAACCAGAUGAUGAACUGUGACAACACAAAGGGGCUAUGUUUGCGCAGGUUCUGAAGAUUAUGGAAUGGAUUAAAUGCUAGCUUAAGAGAUUUAAAGCUAUUGUAGUUAAGAUUUUAGUGCUUGGUACUUGUAAAUGUUUGUACUGUUCUGUAUGUAACAUGUUUAGGAAUUUACUUGUAUGUAGUAAGUUUCCAUGUAUGCUUUCGUAUCAUGUGUGACACAUGUUUCUUUGUAAUUAGUGUGAAAGACUUUUAACGUAUUUCUAGUGGAUGUCAGUUAAAGCUCUAAAUGUAUUGUAAGGGAGUUGUCCCUGAUGGUUGUAAAGAAAAAAAAAGAUAUUCGUAUUUUUCCGCUGCCA